AGUCAUUACGUAUUCUUUAUUGUUUUUUUAAAAAAAGUUGUCACUGCUAAAAAAUAGUAGUUGUUUGCACUAUUUAGACAAAUAAUUGACUACACUGAUCAAGUUAAGAAGACAUCACUCAGUAUGUUACGUUUUUGAAAAGGGGGAGGGGCUUUUUGAAGCAGGUCGUGUGAACAGAGCUGCUUCACUGAAGAGACGCGCCAACGGUUAAUCUUUGAAAACAACGUGAAUCGGUCCAUGUGAGAAGAUGCAGUGGAAGUGACUCUGCUGAUGAUCAUGUGUUCCAAGACCUUGACCUUGGAAUCCUCCUUGUUGAGCGUGAAGGUGCUGUGUCUCCGUCCUCUCUGCAUCUCAAUCCAGCCUCAUUUAAGAUUGUCAUCGAGGGAGAAGUUGUGAUGAAAAGCAUUAAAGACUUGCCAAAGGCUAUGUGCCUUCUCUUUGGACUUACAUAUGCACUUCAUCUAAGCUACCCCAAACCAAUGAAGAACACAUUUCAGUUCAUCCAGCAGGUACUUCUAAUGUUGGGCCACACUGACUUGAAGCCCAGGUUACAGACAUUAAAGAACCAGCUUGCAAUUUAAUUUUGACAGGAGUGGCUGUUUACUGUUCUUGAUGUGCACAAUUAAUCUCUGAGGUGAUUCUCUUGUUCCAAAUAUCCUGUCAUUGCUGUAAGUUAAAUUAAACCAGUUAAAUUGAAAGAGGUUAAAAGAGAAAGAGUUUAAAAGAGAAAAUAAAGAGUUAAAUUGUACCAGUUUUCUGUGGUAAAAAUGU